UAAUUAUUUAUUGUUAUUGCAGCAAUAAACACAAGUACAUACACCAAACAAAUUCACGGUUGAAAUUUAAUAACACUGAACUAUUAAUAUCCUAUUCCUAGAUUGUGACAUGUUGAUCUUGGAAGCUGCUAGUUUGUAACCAUUUUGAUAGCAUAUAAUGAUAGGUAAUGAAGCAAGAAGGCAAGGGAGCAAGAAUUGGAGCAAAAAAGAUUGGGGGCAUAGCAAACAGGGCAAGGAGGAAGGGACUUGGGCGUUGCUAACGCCAGGAACAAGGGCGUGUUCCUAGGCAACGCCAGGGACAAAGGAAGCAACCCUGGGAAGUGAUCAUGCACGUUGCCAACUCCAGGAAGAGCUGGAGUGUUUGCCAACAACGCCCAACAAUGGAAGACAGCCCUGGCUCUCUUCUAAGCACGUUACCAACGCCACCAACAAGGGCGUGUUUGGUGACAACGCCAGCAGCAAGAAGGCUUGGGUAGGAAGGGUGUGAAGCACGUUGCCAACGCCAAAUUCUGAAGGUGUGUUCCUUGGCAACGCAGCAAGCAACCUUGGGGAGCUAGUCCAAAGCCUUGAGCACGUUGCCAGCCUAGAGAUGAGGGGUGUGUUUGAGGACAACGCAGGCAAACAACGCUGAAUAGAAUACUUGGCCCAGGAAAGGGAGAUGCACGUUGCCAACGCCAAGUUCUGAAGGCGUGUUCCUUGGCAACGUAGCAAGCAAAGCUUGGUGCCAUAGGGAAGGCUCGAGCACGUUGUUGGGCUGGGAGAGCAUUGGCGUGUUCCAAGGCAACGCCAAGCAAGGAAGCAGCCCUGGAGCAGCCAGCACGUUGCCAACUUGGAAGAAAGGGGGCGUGUUCAGCAACAACUCCAGCGAACUUGGCAGCCUGACCUUACCUUCUUCAAGGAUGCAUAACUUGAGCUACAAAGCUCCAAAGGAAGUGAUUCCAGUGGCAUUGGAAAGUAGACAUCAAGAGCUUUCCAACCAUAUAUCAUAGUAUGGGGUUAGCAUUCAUUUGAAGCUUCAAAAGCUGGCUUCAUUUGGAGCCUCAGAAAGGAGCUCGCUGCUAACGUGGGUUCAUUGGCGUGUUCAUUGGCAACGCAGCAAACUUGGAGCUAGGAAGCAACGACGAGCACGUUGCUAACUUGGAGUUAUAAGGGCGUGUUCAUCAACAACUCCAGCAGCUAGGCAACCUUGGAAUGAAGCAACCCACGUUGGCAACUUGGAAAUACAAAGGAGUGUUUGCCAAAAACGCUGGUGAGCUGGACAGCCUGACCUUACCUCCUUCAAUGGGGUAUAUCUUGAGCUACAAAGCUUCAAAUGAGGUGAUUCCAAUGGCAUUUGAAAGUAGACAUCCAGAGCUUUCCAACCAUAUAUCAUAGUAUGGGAUUGGCAUUCAUUUGAAGCUUCAAAAGCUGGCUUCAUUUAGAGCUUCAGAAUCUGAGCACGUUGGCAACGCUGGAAACAAGGGCGUUUUCACCAAAAACGUGUGCGAUUUUGGCAGCCUGACCCUGUCUCCUUCAAACGAGCAUAACUUGAGUUAUAGAGAUCCAAAUUGAGUGCUUCCAGUUGCGUUGGAAAGCUGACAUUCAGAGCUUUCCAACCAUAUAUAAUAGUUUAUAGUGGAGCAUGAAAUGAAAGCUCGAAUCAGAGUCAUCUUUAGGCCCCAAAAACAAGGAAAUGAGGUUGAAAUUCAAGGAAGCAUGAAUGGGCCCUGGAGGGGAGCAGCGAGCACGUUGCCAACGUGCCAACAAGGGGGAGUGUUCAGCAAUAACGCCAGCCCCAUGUCUCAGCCUUGGGAGGUUUGGCACGUUGCCAACUUGGAAGAGAGGGGCGUGUUCAGCAACAACUUCAACAAACUUGGCAGCCUGACCUUACCUUCUUUGAGGAAGCAUAACUUGAGCUAGAAAAAUCCAAUUGAGAUGAUUCCAAGUGCAUUAGAAAUAAGACACUCUGAGCUUUCCAAUGAUGUAUGAUAGUUCAUAUUGAAGCAGAGGAUUGACACUCAAAUUCUGGGCAACAUUAAGCAUGAAAGUAGAGUCAAGAAGAAGAAAAGCAAGUUGUUAGCAACAACUUGGGCUAACAACGCCCAAACACCAAUGCCCACUUCCAGGAAAAUACUUUGCACGUUGCCAACGUGCAUUAAGGCUAGUGUUAUUGGCAAGAACGCCAAAUCAUUGGGCCAGGAGCAUUAUGAAUGAGCCUCUCUCUCCCUAUUGAGCAACACUUCUUCUAUUUACAUCUUCCACUAAGCCAAGAAUUCAACAAGGAUAGAGUCCACAUUGCUAGCCCAAUUGAAGAUCUCUGAAAGAGUUUUAGGAGUAGUAUAAAUAGAGAAGAGUUUGAUACUUUAAGGGACUUUUGACUCUUAUUUUUUUAGCAAUUUUUACUCUUAGACACUUUUACUUUUAGAGUUUUUUUUGGGUUUCCACUUUUUCUCACCGGUCUUCUAUUUUGUUUUUCCUGUAACUUUGAAUUUGAGUUUUAAGAACUUCUUCUUCUUCUUCUUCAUUCGUCUCUACACUUAGUUUAAUUUUCAUCUUUGCAAUUGUUGUUGAAAUUGGAGCUAUGAUUCACUAAACCCCACUUUCAUUAGGGGGAAGAGCUCUGCUCAUUUGAAUGAGUUGAUAACUUUUCUUUUCCUUCUCAAUUCAAGCGGUUCAUCUAAAAGGAAACUCUUGUUCUUCACAGAUUCAAUCACCAUCGAGAGAGGGAUUAAUCUAUAUGAAUUAUGUGGUGAAUUUAAGAAAGGAGCUACAUAAUUCAGUUUAGUGAACUUCAUCUCUUCUCAUGAACAAUUAGAUCACGAGAGUGGCAAUUGGUUGUGUUGAGAGAAAUUGAGUUACCAAGAGAUUGGGACUCAAUUAACCAUAAUUUGCCAUGGAUCUAUACCCAUGAUUGAGAAGAAAUUGAUCAACAUCAAUUCAUGAGAAUUUGCAUCUCCGAUCCUUAAUGAUCCUUUCCAUCAUUAAUUCUCAUUUCUUUUGUUCUUUAGUUAUUUUGAAUACCCAUUACCCAAUUCCCUUUUAUCUUGCAAUUUAUCAUUCUUGCCAUUUACAUUCUGUUUAUCUAAUUCUUGCAAUCUACUCUUCUGCUCUUUAUAAUUCCGCAAUCUUUACUUUCUUGCAAGCUACCUUUAAUGUCAUUUAAGUUUCUUGCAUUUUAAGUUUCAGUUAUUUACUUUCAUUGUUCUUCUUUAUUCUAGUUCUUUAAAUUUCUUGCCAUUUAAAUUUUUGCAAUUAUGUUCAAAAAUCACAAAUCUCAUGAAAUCAAAAUCAUGUUUGCUUGACUAAAUCUAUCAUUUAACUAAAGUUGCUUAAUCUACCAAUCUCUGUGGGAUCGACCUCACUCUUAGUGAGUUUUAUUACUUGAUACGACCCGGUAUACUUGCCGGUAAUUACGUGAAAAUAAAUUUUUACGUAUCAAGUUUUUGGCGCCGUUGCCGGGGAUUGAAUUAGAUUGACAAUGAUUAAGUUAAGUGAAGAUCUAGAUCUAGCACUUUUUAUUUUUGUUCUUUAACUUUUAACUAACACACUAACUGUUUGAAUUUUUGCUUAAGCCAACUAACAUUUCACUUCAGCCAUGGAUUGAAGUGUUAUUGCCUUUCUGGUGUUGUGUGAUUCUUAUGCUUUGGUUGCAUGUCAGGUACAAGGAGAAUUAUACCCACUUUUUGUGAACAAGACGAAAGAACCCUCAGAAGAUUAAGAAGAGCUGAAAGAGGGAAAAACAUUAUUGGAGAAGAGGAUUCAGACGGAGAAGACCAAGUCAUGGAGGGCAAUUCACAUAACCAUGCUGAGGGAGUUGCCAAUAAUAACAACCCAGAGAGAGUUGCCAACAAUAACAACCCACCUCAAAGGAGAGUUCUAGCUUCUUACACUCUCCCAAAUCCAAGACACUGUGGGAGCAGUAUACUCGCUCCCAAUAUUCAUGCAAACAACUUUGAAUUGAAGCCUCAUCUCAUCACUCUCGUGCAAAACAAUUGUUCCUAUGGAGGAGGCCCCCUUGAGGACCCAAAUCAACACCUAUCUGUCUUCCUAAGAAUUUGUGAAACUGUCAAGACAAAUGGUGUGCAUCCAGAUGUUUACAAGCUGCUAUUAUUCCCAUUUUCUUUGAGGGAUAAGGCAUUUCAAUGGCUGGAGACAUUCCCCAAAGAAAGUAUCAACACUUGGGAUGAUCUGGUGAAUAAAUUCCUAUCCAAGUUCUAUCCGCCUCAGAGGAUCAUCAGGUUAAAAACGGAGGUGCAAACAUUCACUCAAAUGGAUGGGGAAUCAUUGUAUGAAGCAUGGGAAAGAUACAAAGCCCUGAUUAGAAAAUGUCCACCUGAGAUGUUCAGUGAAUGGGAUAAACUUCAAAAUUUCUAUGAAGGGUUGACUGAAAAAUCUCAAGAGUCCUUGGAUUACUCUGCAGGAGGCUCACUACAAUUGAUGAAUACAGCCGAAGAAGCUCAGAAUCUCAUAGACAUGGUGACAAAUAACCAAUACUUCUUUGCUCAUCAGAGGCAACGCCAACCUAUUCAAAAGAAGGGCGUGUUGGAACUAGAAGGAUUGGAUACAAUCUUGGCACAGAACAAGUUGAUGCACCAACAAAUCCAGCAACAAAUGAAAAUGAUGGCUAAGAGAAUAGAUGGCCUCCAACUAGCUUCAGUGAGCACAACAAAUCAAGCUUCAAUUGAAUGGGGUCAAAAUGAAACAGGCAAUGUUGAGCAGCAACAAGAACAAGUUCAAUACAUGCAAAAUACCUCAAGUUCAUUUCAAAAUGACUUCCAUGGUGACACAUACAACUCAUCCUGGAGGAACCACCCCAACCUGAGAUGGGGUGAUAAUUAAAACCAGUGGCAGAAAAACAACAACUCCAACCAUUCUCGCAACACACACAACCAAAAUCAUUCAUCUAACAACACUAACCAAUACAAAAAACCACAAAACACAUAUCAACCAACCCACAACAAUUCACAAAUUCACCAAAAUAACUUCUCCACACCACCAUUCAACUCACAAAAUGCCCACCUCAAUGCUCCAAACAACUUCCAGCCACAACAAUCAUACCCUACCAUACCACCCAUUGACCAUCAUGAAACCAGGAUCUCAAGUCUUGAAGCAGCCUUGCAAGCCCUUACCCAAAACACACAGUCACUUGCCCAGACCACUCAAGGUUUAGCCAAGGGGCAAGAAAUUUUGCUCAAAGGACAAGAGAGACAUGAAGCCACCAUGAAGAACCUUGAACGACAAGUGGGACAAUUGGCCAAACAAGCUGAACGGCCAACCAAUGUUCUCCCAAGUGAUACAAUCUCCAAUCCAAAGGACACAGGAAAAGCCAUAAAGUGGGAGGAGUGUAAAGCAAUCACCCUGAGAAGUGGUAAGAAGGUGGAGACAGAAGCCAUCACUCAGGAAGAGCACAACAAAGAAGGCUUGAAAGAAGAGGUAAAGGAGCAAAAGCAGGAGCAAGAAACCUCUACACAAAGUGAUAAGUCAACUAAGAAAGAGGCAGUGAGAGCAUAUCAACCAAUGCUACCAUAUCCUCAAAGAUUCAAGGGAGAGAACAAAGAGAAGCAAUACUCCAAAUUUCUGGAGAUAUUCAAGACACUGCACAUCAACAUCCCCUUCAUAGAAGCACUUGAACAAAUGCCAUUGUAUGCAAAGUUCAUGAAGGAAUUGUUAACAAAGAAAAGAUCCUUGAAGGAGGGACAAAUGGUUGUAAUGACCACGGAGUGUAGUGCCAUUAUCCAGAAAGGAUUACCAAGGAAGAGGAAGGACCCAGGGAGCUUUCAUAUCCCCUGCACCAUAGGCAACAUGACAAUUGAGAAAGCAUUUUGUGAUCUUGGUGCAAGCAUCAACUUAAUGCCUCUAUCCCUGAUGAGGAAGCUUCAGAUUCAUGAAUUGAGACCCACAAAAAUAGCCCUUCAAAUGGCAGACAAAUCCAUUCAGCAAGCACUUGGUGUUGUGGAGAAUGUAUUGGUAAAGGUGGACAAAUUUUUCCUCCCAGCUGACUUCGUCAUCCUAGACAUAGAGGAAGAUGGCAACACUCCCAUUAUCCUAGGGAGACCCUUCUUAGCUACUGCCAGGGCAUUGAUAGAUGUUGAAAAAGGAGAAUUGAUGCUAAGGGUGCAUGAAGAGCAUAUAGUGUUCCAUGUCUUCAAGAAUUUGCAAGAUUCUACCCAAGAGGAGGAGUGUAUGAAGAUUGAUUCCAUAAAUCCAAACUUGAAAGAAGCACCUGAUGAAACACUUCCAAUGCACCUAAGCUCAUGCUGGAAAAGAAAGGAAGAGGUAGAAGUGGUGCAAAAAGCUCAAAGAAUAGAGGAGAAGCUACAACCAAAGCCUGCAUUUGAGAUUCUCAGCAAAGACAUUCCAAAAAUUGAGACUUCGAAACCUGAACUACCUCCUGAAAAAGAAAAGAGUCCCAAGAAGAAAGUGCCAAGAGGAUGGAGAAACAAGAAAAUCCCCACUGAAGGUUUCUCACCAGGGGAUAAAGUGAUGCUAACUUACCAACCAAUGGAAACAUCUCCACACUUUUCUGGAUAUUACACAGUGAACAAAAUCCUAUCACUUGGACAUGUGGAAAUCAUCAAGAAGGAUACUGGAAGGAAGCUCACGGUGAGAGGGGAAGGAUUAAGGCACUAUGAUCAUCAUCCUCCCUAAAGAGGGACAACCGUCAAGCUAAUGACAAUAAAAGAGCGCUUGUUGGGAGGCAACCCAACCUUAGGUAACUAUUUUUUAUACUCUUCUCAGAAUAAAUGGUUAGUUCAACUUCUAUGUAUUGCAAGGAAUUAAGUUUGGUGUUCCACACCAAUGUGAUUGUAUCAACAAAAAAAAAAUUUAAGGGUGAAUGCAUGGUACUAAGUUUGGUGUUCCCACACCAACUUAAGUUCAAGAACUCACAAGCAUAACUGCAUGCUAACCAUCUCUCAAGUGCUUGGGGACAAGCAACUUUCAAAGUUUAUAGUAGGCAGUCACUUCAAUCUUGGGAAGGAUUAAGCAUCAUCAACCAAAGAGACAAAGAGGGAUGUAAAGACCAACAAUGAUGAUGAUAAGGAGUAAAGCAAGUAAACUCCAAAAGGUUGUAUUGUUAAGUGAUUGUCUUUUAUUUAAAACUGUUAUGAUUGAAAGCAAUACUGCACCCCUGCUUGUCUGCUUAGUAUAAUCUCUUUAAAAGUUCAAUAACUAAGAUGCAAAAUACAUCCUAGCACCAUACACUUGAAAAUCUACUUACACUCAAGAUCCAUAAAUUGCAAACAGAGAACAGUUCUUUGAAAAGAAUGAUUGAGGAGUCAAAAUUUUGUUUUGAGGCAAGCAAAAGAUUAAGAGAAGUGGUGGUUCUAGUUGUAUGAUUGUGUAUUGAGGUUGCAUGUUUGUGAAAACCUGCAUGGGAGCUCAUAGGCAGGAAAGAGAGUUCAAAGAAGUAUUGUGGAGAUUCUCAAAUAUCUUUUGAUCCAAGAAGCAGCAAAAAAAAAUAGAAGAAAAAAAAAGAGAGAGAACAUGGCAAAAGGCUCUGAGCAUCAAUUACUAGGAAGAAAAAGAAAGAAAUAAGAACUCAAAAAGUUAUUAUCCUAGUUAAAUCUUGUGGUAGAAUUGUGUCAAAGAGAGAGGCUUGAGCAAGUAAAUCCUAAGGGGUGCUUCAACACCUAAUACCUUAAAACCAACUGGUUUGGGAGUGUUGAUUGAAAGCAUAUCUAAAGAGCCGCUUUGAGACAUGACACUUAGAGUCAAGGCCAAGACACAAAAACUAUAAGACUGCUUCAAGGUGAUUACCUAUAGAGAGAUUUCCAUGAUAUCAUUUGAAUGAAAAUCCUAAGAUCUAAGACUUCUAAAAUGUAGGGACUAAUAAGCACUGGAAUCCUUGCAUGAGCAUAUAAUUCAGAGUUCACCCCACUAUCACUUAAUUACUUCACUCACAAAGGCAUUACAAGCUAUCCCUCAACUUGUUCCAAUUAAAAGAAACCUUUGUCCAUAGUUCUUUUCUUGCUUGAGGACAAGCAAGGUUUAAGUUUGGUGUUGUGAUGCAUUUGCAUCUUUGCUAUAUUAGCUAGUUAGUUUAAGUAGUUUUAGCUUAAUUUCAUUCAUUUUCAUCAAAAUAAACAAGCAGUUAUAUGAACUUUCUCUCCAUGCAUUCAUGAACCAAGAAUUAGGUGGAACUUGGCCAUAUUGAUGCAAAUAAUUCAAGAAGUUUACAAAUGAAUGAGUAUGAAUGAAUCUCUUGAAAUUGAUUGCAUGGAAUGGCAAUACUUUGAGACAAUUUCUUGGGUUAAUGAUAGGUAAUGAAGCAAGAAGGCAAGGGAGCAAGAAUUGGAGCAAGAAAGAUUGGGGGCAUAGCAAACAGGGCAAGGAGGAAGGGACUUGGGCGUUGCUAACGCCAGGAACAAGGGCGUGUUCCUAGGCAACGCCAGGGACAAAGGAAGCAACCCUGGGAAGUGAUCAUGCACGUUGCCAACUCCAGGAAGAGCUGGAGUGUUUGCCAACAACGCCCAACAAUGGAAGACAGCCCUGGCUCUCUCCUAAGCACGUUACCAACGCCACCAACAAGGGCGUGUUUGGUGACAAUGCCAGCAACAAGAAGGCUUGGGUAGGAAGGGUGUGAAGCACGUUGCAACGCCAAAUUCUGAAGGCGUGUUCCUUGGCAACGCAGCAAGCAACCUUGGAGAGCUAGUCCAAAGCCUCGAGCACGUUGCCAGCCUAGAGAUGAAGGGUGUGUUUGAGGACAACGCAGGAAAACAACGCUGAAUAGAAGACUUGGCCCAGGAAAGGGAGAUGCACGUUGCCAACGCCAAGUUCUGAAGGCGUGUUCCUUGGCAACGUAGCAAGCAAAGCUUGGUGCCAUAGGGAAGGCUCGAGCACGUUGUUGGGCUGGGAGAGCAUUGGCGUGUUCCAAGGCAACGCCAAGCAAGGAAGCAGCCCUGGAGAAGCCAGCACGUUGCCAACUUGGAAGAAAGGGGGCGUGUUCAGCAACAACUCCAGCGAACUUGGCAGCCUGACCUUACCUUCUUCAAGGAUGCAUAACUUGAGCUACAAAGCUUCAAAGGAAGUGAUUCCAGUGGCAUUGGAAAGUAGACAUCAAGAGCUUUCCAACCAUAUAUCAUAGUAUGGAGUUAGCAUUCAUUUGAAGCUUCAAAAGCUGGCUUCAUUUGGAGCCUCAGAAAGGAGCACGUUGCCAAAGUGGGUUCAUUGGCGUGUUCAUUGGCAACGCAGCAAACUUGGAGCUAGGAAGCAACCACGAGCACGUUGCUAACUUGGAGUUAUAAGGGAGUGUUCAUCAACAACGCCAAUAUCUAGGCAACCUUGGAAUGAAGCAACCCACGUUGGCAACUUGAAAAUACAAAGGAGUGUUUGCCAAAAACGCUGGUGAGCUGGACAGCCUGACCUUACCUCCUUCAAUGGAGUAUAUCUUGAGCUACAAAGCUCCAAAUGAGGUGAUUCCAACGGCAUUUGAAAGUAGACAUCCAGAGCUUUCCAACCAUAUAUCAUAGUAUAGAAUUGGCAUUCAUUUGAAGCUUCAAAAGCUGGAUUUAUUUAGAGCUUCAGAAUCUGAGCACGUUGGCAACGCUGGAAACAAGGGCGUUUUCACCAAAAACGUGUGCGAUUUUGGCAGCCUGACCCUGUCUCCUUCAAACGAGCAUAACUUGAGUUAUAGAGAUCCAAAUUGAGUGCUUCCAGUUGCGUUGGAAAGAAGACAUUCAGAGCUUUCUAACCAUAUAUAAUAGUCUAUAGUGGAGCAUGAAAUAAAAGCUCGAAUCAGAGUCAUCUUUAGGCCCCAAAAAUAAGGAAAUGAGGUUGAAAUUCAAGGAAGCAUGAAUGGGCCCUGGAGGGGAGCAGCGAGCACGUUGCCAACGUGCCAACAAGGGGGCGUGUUCAGCAACAACGCCAGCCCCAUGUCUCAGCCUUGGGAGGUUUGGCACGUUGCCAACUUGGAAGAGAGGGGCGUGUUCAGCAACAACUUCAACAAACUUGGCAGCCUGACCUUAUCUUCUUUGAGGAAGCAUAACUUGAGCUUAAAAAAUCCAAUUGAGAUGAUUCCAAGUGCAUUAGAAAGAAGACACUCUGAGCUUUCCAAUGAUGUAUGAUAGUCCAUAUUGAAGUAGAGGAUUGACACUCAAAUUCUGGGCAACAUUAAGCAUGAAAGUAGAGUCAAGAAGAAGAAAAGCAAGUUGUUAGCAACAACUUGGGCUAACAACGCCCAAACACCAAUGCCCACUUCCAGGAAAAUACUUUGCACGUUGCCAACGUGCAUUAAGGCUAGUGUUAUUGGCAAGAACGCCAAAUCAUUGGGCCAGGAGCAUUAUGAAUGAGCCUCUCUCUCCCUAUUGAGCAACACUUCUUCUAUUUACAUCUUCCACUAAGCCAAGAAUUCAACAAGGAUAGAGCCCACAUUGCUAGCCCAAUUGAAGAUCUCUGAAGGAGUUUUAGGAGUAGUAUAAAUAGAGAAGAGUUUGAUACUUUAAAGGAAUUUUGACUUUUAUUUUUUUAGCAAUUUUUACUCUUAGACACUUUUACUUUUAGAGUUUUUUUUGGGUUUCCACUUUUUCUCACCGGUCUUCUAUUUUGUUUUUCCUGUAAUUUUGAAUUUGAGUUUUAAGAACUUCUUCUUCUUCUUCUUCAUUCGUCUCUACACUUAGUUUAAUUUUCAUCUUUGCAAUUGUUGUUGAAAUUGGAGCUAUGAUUCACUAAACCCCACUUUCAUUAGGGGGAAGAGCUCUGCUCAUUUGAAUGAGUUGAUAACUUUUCUUUUCCUUCUCAAUUCAAGUGGUUCAUCUAAAAGGAAACUCUUGUUCUUCACAGAUUCAAUCACCAUCGAGAGAGGGAUUAAUCUAUAUGAAUUAUGUGGUGAAUUUAAGAAAGGAGCUACAUAAUUCAGUUUAGAGUUCAUCCUUUCAUGAUUUCCUUUAUCAAUACACUUUGGUUGGUAUGUGAGAUGUAACCUCCCUUAGUUGAGAUUCUGGAAGUUGUGUGGCUUGGAUUAGGAAUUGAACUUCAUCUCUUCUCAUGAACAAUUAGAUCACGAGAGUGACAAUUGGUUGUGUUGAGAGAAAUUGAGUUACCAAGAGAUUGGGACUCAAUUAACCAUAAUUUGCCAUGGAUCUAUACCCAUGAUUGAGAAGAAAUUGAUCAACAUCAAUUCAUGAGAAUUUGCAUCUCCGAUCCUUAAUGAUCCUUUCCAUCAUUAAUUCUCAUUUCUUUUGUUCUUUAGUUAUUUUGAAUACCCAUUACCCAAUUCCCUUUUAUCUUCUUGCAAUUUAUCAUUCUUGCCAUUUACAUUCUGUUUAUCUAAUUCUUGCAAUCUACUCUUCUGCUCUUUAUAAUUCCGCAAUCUUUACUUUCUUGCAAGCUACCUUUAAUGUCAUUUAAGUUUUUUGCAUUUUAAGUUUCAGUUUUUUACUUUCAUUGUUCUUCUUUAUUCUAGUUCUUUAAAUUCCUUGCCAUUUAAAUUUUUGCAAUUAUGUUCAGAAAUCACAAAUCUCAUGAAAUCAAAACCAUGUUUGCUUGACUAAAUCUAUCAUUUAACUAAAGUUGCUUAAUCUACCAAUCUCCGUGGGAUCGACCUCACUCUUAGUGAGUUUUAUUAUUUGAUACGACCCGGUAUACUUGCCGGUAAUUACGUGAAAAUAAAUUUUUACGUAUCACAUAUUAGCCAUUCCCUCUUCAUAAAGGUCAACCUCAUCUCAUGCAUGAUUGUGAUGUGAAUAUGUGGUGUUUCUCCAUUUUUGUUAUCUCUUCUGUUUUGGGACCAUUGGAGGGAGA
rnacentral:lncRNA from 1 species